UGCUAGUACUUCAGCACUUUCAGUCCAUAUUGUAUUUUACUAGUACUUCAGUACUAUCAGUCCCUAUUGUAUUUUACUAGCACUUCAGCACUAUCAGUCCCUAUUGUAUUAUGCUAGUACUUCAGUACUAUGAGUCCCUAUUGUAUUAUACGAGUACUUCAGAACUAUAAGGGUGGUACUGAGAGUGCUCUGUGUGUGAAGGUGCUCACUCUUGUGUGAAGGAGGUUUUCUUUACCAGAAUUAAUCACUGUGUUGGACUUUUGAAAGCGGUGCAAAAUUGGUCCUGAAAACUGGUCCCUCUGGUAGGUCCUGUGUCUCUGUUCCCCCCGUCCUCUGAGCAGCUCUCUUGGGGCUCGGCCACACUGGACUGCCUGCUGAGUGGCUACUCCCCCCAGGGGGCGAUGGUGAGCUGGGAGGUGAACAGGGCGGAGGUGAAGGAGGGGGUCCUGACCACCACAGAAGAAGAGAAGGGUGGUCGCUACAGCCGUAGCAGCACCCUGACCCUGAGCAAGGCACGCUGGGAAGAGGGAGAGAUGUACACCUGCAGGGUCGACCAUGACGACACCAGUUAUUCGGCUGCCUUCCGGAGAAGUCAUUGUAGUGUUGUAGUGUCUGGAGACUGGAGAGGUAAUUGUAGGGGGCAAGAGAGUCCCCACAUGGUGCUAGUUCUGGAAACAAUGUUUUAGAGUUGAAUGUUAUAGUAUAAUAGUGAAUAAUAUCAGUAGUGCUGUGUGAUAAAUGAACUAUUUUGAGAUUAAGUUGUUCAUGUCAUCUAGUUCAAAUAAAGCUUUUUUUAUUUAGAAAAUACCCCAAAUAAUUACUAUAAUCAUGAUUCCAGUGAUCACUAUCUCAUGAAUAUGCAGCACAUUUCAUAGUAAUUUACAUCAAUCAGCUUCUUUUAUAAUUUCAGCAUUGAAGCAAAUAUCUACUCAUGUUUUAAAAAGAAUGAAAACGGCAUCCUAUCCAACAAAGACUCUACAAUCAUUUCUACUACUGAAUGAUCCUGUUAUACUGUAGCUCCAAUACCAGUGAUGAUAAUUAGUGACAUUUGAUAAUAAACCUUUGAGAUCUGCUGUCAGAACUCACACUGCUAAACAGUUACUGUCAUAACAUAUAUAUUGAGCAAAAAAAUAAAUGUCCCUUUUUUAGGACCCUGUCUUUCAAAGAUCAUUCGUAAAAGUCCAAGUAACUUCACAGAUCUUCAUUGCAAUGGGUUUAAACACUGUUUCCCAUGCUUGUUCAAUGAACCAUAAACAACUAAUGAACAUGCACCUGUGGAACGGUCAUUAAGCAUGUCCUGUCUAUGCAAACAUACUGUCCUGAUCCCCCAGGGAAACUGUAGUUGAAGAGAUCUGUGUGAUUAGCAGCAAUUAAUUAAGAUUGAGGUUCAUCGUGGUCAUGGUCUUCAUUGGUCAACAAGCCUCAUCUGGGCUCAAUGAAAGGCUGGGAAGGUGCUGAAGGGUUGGCAGGAGAGACAUUUUAACUUGAUGGAACCACAGGACAUUUUCAGGAGUUAUAAUCAUGUUUAUCUCAAUAAAUAUGGUUGAAUCUUAGCUUGAAAUUCACUAACUGACUGACAUACCCUACAGAGGCUGGGUUAUUUAUUCUGAAAUUAUGUAAGACAUUACUAUUGCAUAUAGAUGGAGUCCAUUCAACUUAUUGUGUGACAUGUUAUGAAAACGUUUGUUGGCCAUAGCAACAGGGAAGUAAUAUUUAUGUAGUCUGGACCUGUGAGUGUUAUCAGUUCAGGAAUGCUUUAGCAUGAGGGUGAAAGAGUUGACAUAUUGUCAGCAUCACUGAUAUAUUUAUCUCAGUGUAUUUUAGUUCAGUCAGUGUUCCAUGUCUCUGUCUCUUCCUCCUCAGCACCUGCAGUAGAUCCCAGCUGUAUCAGUACAGUCACUGUGCAGUCUGACUGAGGGAGGUUUUUGUACGGCUCUGUAUCACUGUGUGAACACAUGUUUACUAUUGGGGAGGUGUAAACUCUGACAGUAAUAAUCUCCUGCAUCUUCAGCCUGGACUCCACUGAUGGUCAGAGUGAAGUCACUCCCAGAUCCACUGCCACUGAAUCUAGAUGGAGUCCCAGAUUGAACGGUGCUUGUAUAGUAAAUGAGGAGUUUAGGAGCUCCUCCAGGUUUAUGUUGGUACCAGUCUAGAUAUGUAUUUCCAUGCACAUUACUGCUGGUUUUACAGUUCAGAGAGACUGACUGUCCUGGGAGAACAGCUUUCACAGCAGGAGUCUGAGUCACAGUGUACUGUCCUCUGGAUUCUGAAAAAUAUAAUAAAAACACAAUUAUUAAAAACAUAAUAAAUAGUUCUGAACAUACAUAACGCCAUAUAUAUGAUUCUUUCAUAUAGCUUGAAUGAUAUUUUCAAUAAUAUGAAGAACAAAAAAAUUGUAACCUUGAAAGCAGAGGGAAAGUGUCCAGAUGAAGAUGGUGAUAAAAGUCAUGGUUGUUGUGGGUUCUGUUGUCAUGAAGGACAGCUCUCAGUCAUGAAGUGUUAAACUCACAGGGCUAUAAACACUCCCAGAGCACUGAAGCAUGCGCUGCCAAUGCAAAGUGUCCUCUAUGCAAACAGAUCAGCUUGAUGCUGGGAUCUGUUUAGAGAGAGGGCAGCAGACACAUUUGAGUCAUUUAGCAGACACUCUUCUCCAGAGCAAUUUACAGUAGUGAGUGCAUACAAUUCCCAUACUGGUCCCCCAUGGGAUCCAAACCCACAACCAUUGCAUUGCAAGCACCAUGCACUACCAACUGAGAAACACGGGAUCAGUUAACUUCUUUCUACAUAGACAUUCCUGGAACCAGAGGGUGGCUAUUUAGGGUUCAGGUGAUAUUUAGACUUAAGGGUCUUUGUACUCUGGUUUAUGGAGUUUAUUACUAUGUUAUAACAUCAGUAAAUAUGGUUGAAAUCUUGCUUGAAAUGCACUAUUCAGCAGGGGGACAUGACUGGCAUAUCUUUUCUGAAAUUAUGUGAGACAUUAUCACACGCAUAAUUAUGCAGCCCAUUCAAUGUAUUGCUCAUUCUAGCAUAUAAUGCAAUGUUUGCAUUGGAUUUUUCAAAGCAGAUGUGGAAUAAUCAAUUAUGAAAUAGGUGAACAUUGUAGGAUCUAGGGGGAAAUGAUCAAGGUGGUUAAAGACUUUCUAUAGAUAAUAUAAUUCUAAGACAUGUAUAAGAAUGUAUGUGUCGACACUGAUGGAUUACCACUUCAGGAAUGCUUUGGUGACAGUAUAUGGAUUACCACGUCAGGAAUGCUUUGGUGACAGUAUAUGGGUUACCACUUCAGGAAUGCUUUGGUGACAGUAUAUGGAUUACCACGUCAUGAAUGCUUUGGUGACAGUAUAUGGAUUACCACGUCAGGAAUGCUUUGGUGACAGUAUAUGGGUUACCACUUCAGGAAUGCUUUGGUGACAGUAUAUGGAUUACCACUUCAGGAAUGCUUUGGUGACAGUACAUGGAUUACCACUUCAGGAAUGCUUUGGUGACAGUAUAUGGGUUACCACUUCAGGAAUGCUUUGGUGACAGUGUAUGGGUUACCACUUCAGGAAUGCUUUGGUGACAGUAUAUGGAUUACCACUUCAGGAAUGCUUUGGUGACAGUACAUGGAUUACCACUUCAGGAAUGCUUUGGUGACAGUAUAUGGGUUACCACUUCAGGAAUGCUUUGGUGACAGUAUAUGGAUUACCACUUCAGGAAUGCUUUGGUGACAGUACAUGGAUUACCACUUCAGGAAUGCUUUGGUGACAGUAUAUGGGUUACCACUUCAGGAAUGCUUUGGUGACAGUAUAUGGAUUACCACUUCAGGAAUGCUUUGGUGACAGUAUAUGGAUUACCACUUCAGGAAUGCUUUGGUGACAGUAUUUCAGAAGACAGAUUAAGAUUAGCUCAGUGUAUUUUAGUUCAGUCAGUGUUCCAGUUCACUGUCUGAAGCAUGUGCUACCAAUGCAAAGUGUCCUCUCUAUGCAAACAUACCUUCAUGAUCCCAGAGGGACACUGGGUGCGUCGACACAGACAGACCAAUUCUGAUCUUUUUCCACCAAUCACAUCAGAUCUUUUGACAUCAGCUCUGAUUUGAUUGGUCAGAAGACCAAUGAGUGAAAAAAAAGAUCUGAAUUGGGCUGCGCAGACCAGUUGGCUGGAGUGUUUAAGGACAUAUUCAAUCUCUCCCUUUCCCAGUCUGCUGUCCUCACUUGCUUGAAGAUGUCCACCAUUGUUCCUGUACCCAAGAAAGCAAAGUUUCCACCACCCUGACCGUCCUGCCCCCCUCUAGUGGGGAGCUUUCCAGUAAGACAAUGACCACACUGAUGUGCCUGGCCAACAAGGGCUUCUUCCUCAGACUGUAUCAUGAGUUGGAAAGUGGACAGGACCACCAAGAAGCAGGAACCUAGUCCUGGGGUCCUGGAAAAGGAUGGCCUGUUCAGCUGGAGCAGCACCCUGACUCUCACUAUCCAGGAGUGUAUUCAAAACAGAGGUCAUCUUUAGGGGUUUUGAUUAUUGUAUCGUCAACAAAAUAAGGGAGAUGAUCGUGGACUUUAGGAAACAACUGAGGGAGCACCCCCCUAUCCACAUCGACAGGACAGUAGUGGAGAAGGUGGAAAGUUUUAAGUUCCUCAGCGUACACAACACAGACAAACUGAAAUGGUCCACCCACACAGACAGCGUGAUGAAGAAAGACCAACAGUGACUCUUCAACCUCAGGAGGCUGAAGAAAUUUGUCUUGUCACCAAAAACACUCACAACCUUUUACAGAUGCACAAUCGAGAGCAUCCUGUCGGGUUGUCUCACCGCCUGGUACGGCAACUGCUCCGCCCACAACCGUAAGGCUCUCCAGAGGGUAGUGAGGUCUGCACAACGCAUCACCGGGGGCAAACUACCUGUCCUCCAGGACACCUACACCACCCGAUGUCACAGGAAGGCCAAAAAGAUCCCCAAGGACAACAACCAGCUGAGCCAUUGCCUGUUCACCCUGCUAUCAUCCAGAAGGCGAGGUCAGUACAGGUGCAUCAAAGCUGGGACCGAGAGACUGAAAAACAGCUUCUAUCUCAAGGCCAUCAGACUGUUAAACAGCCAUCACUAACAUUGAGUGGCUGCUGCCAACAUAAUGACUCAAAUCUCUAGCCACUUUAAUAAUUAAAAACUGGAUGUAAUAAAUGUAUCACUAGUAACUUUAAACAAUGUCACUUUAUAUAAUGUUUACAUACCCUACAUUACUCAUCUCCUAUGUACAUACUGUACUCUGUACCAUGUACUGCAUUUUGCCUAUGUCGUUCAGCCAUCGCUCAUUCAUAUAUUUAUAUGUACAUAUUCUUAUUCAUUCCUUUACACUUGUAUGUAUAAUGUAGUUGUUGUGAAAUGUAUAGAUUGCUUGUUAGAUAUUACUGCACGGUCAGAACUAGAAGCACAAGCAUUUUGCUACACCCACAUUAAAAUCUGCUAACCAUGUGUAUGUGACCAAUAAAAUUAGAUUUGAUCUCUA